rnacentral:rRNA from 1 species
AGCGUAGACGGCGCAGCAAGUCUGAUGUGAAAGGCAGGGGCUUAACCCCUGGACUGCAUUGGAAACUGCUGUGCUUGAGUGCCGGAGGGGUAAGCGGAAUUCCUAGUGUAGCGGUGAAAUGCGUAGAUAUUAGGAGGAACACCAGUGGCGAAGGCGGCUUACUGGACGGUAACUGACGUUGAGGCUCGAAAGUGUGGGUAGCAAACA